rnacentral:rRNA from 1 species
UGUCCAGACUCCUACGGGAGGCAGCAGUGGGGGAUAUUGCACAAUGGGGGGAACCCUGAUGCAGCGACGCCGCGUGAGCGAUGAGGUAUCUCGGUAUGUAAAGCUCUAUCAGCAGGGAAGAAAGUGACAGUACCUGACUAAGAAGCCCCGGCUAACUACGUGCCAGCAGCCGCGGUAAUACGUAGGGGGCAAGCGUUAUCCGGAUUUACUGGGUGUAAAGGGAGCGUAGACGGCUGAGCAAGUCUGAAGUGAAAGGCGGGGGCCCAACCCCCGGACUGCUUUGGAAACUGUAUAGCUAGAGUGCAGGAGAGGUAAGUGGAAUUCCUAGUGUAGCGGUGAAAUGCGUAGAUAUUAGGAGGAACACCAGUGGCGAAGGCGGCUUACUGGACUGUAACUGACGUUGAGGCUCGAAAGCGUGGGGAGCAAACAGGAUUAGAUACCCUGGUAC